rnacentral:rRNA from 1 species
CGAGGAAUCUUGGUCAAUGGGCGCAAGCCUGAACCAGCGACGCCGCGUGGAGGAUGAAGGCCCUCGGGUCGUAAACUCCUUUUGGGUGGGAAGAAGAUCUGACGGUACCACCCGAAUAAGCCACGGCUAACUACGUGCCAGCAGCCGCGGUAAUACGUAGGUGGCGAGCGUUGUCCGGAUUUACUGGGCGUAAAGCGCGCGCAGGCGGUUCGUUAAGUCCGGUGUGAAAGCUCCCGGCUCAACUGGGAGAGGUCAUUGGAUACUGGCGGACUCGAGGGAUGCAGAGGAAGGUGGAAUUCCCGGUGUAGUGGUGAAAUGCGUAGAGAUCGGGAGGAACACCAGUGGCGAAGGCGGCCUUCUGGGCAUUUCCUGACGCUGAGGCGCGAAAGCGUGGGGAGCGAACCGG